rnacentral:rRNA from 1 species
UACGGGGGAGCAAGCGUUGUUCGGAUUUACUGGGCGUAAAGGGCGCGUAGGCGGUCAGCACAAGUCAGUUGUGAAAUCUCCGGGCUUAACUCGGAAAGGUCAACUGAUACUGUGCGACUAGAGUGCAGAAGGGGCAACUGGAAUUCUCGGUGUAGCGGUGAAAUGCGUAGAUAUCGAGAGGAACACCUGCGGCGAAGGCGGGUUGCUGGGCUGACACUGACGCUGAUGCGCGAAGCCAGGGGAGCGAACGGG